UCAGGGUUGGGGGGCACAGUCCCUCAGCCCAGAUUGCGAGAGGGCGCAGGCCAGGCUGAGGGACCCCACCAGUGCACA
rnacentral:pre_miRNA from 1 species